rnacentral:lncRNA from 1 species
CACAACCUCUGUCAGAGUAGGGAUUACCAUAACCGAAUUGGCAGAACAUCUCUGACCUAAAUGUUUAUAUCGUGAUGAUGUAAAGUAUCAAAACAAUAGGAGGAGAUGAUUUGAAGGGAGUGUAAGGUCCAAAUUGUUCACAAUCUCCCAUUCAAGCACUGCAGGACCACUUCUAAAUCCUUCAUCACACCAUCCACAGGAAAGUAGUAGCUUGUGAGAGCAUUAUAAGAAUUGGAUCGACGGAAGUUCAGAUCUUACUCUACAACCAUGGUGUAAGUGCACACAUCACUCUUUCAUUCUCCUGUAAACCUUUUAUUUCAAUGAUGUAUUCUUUAAGAUACAGUGGCAGGGAAUUCUCAUAGCAGGAUUUCCCAUUACAAUCAUUGUUACUAUGCUCCAUUUGCCCAAUAUCAUCUACCUUGCAGUUCUCGUCGCGAUGGACACAAAACCACCCAUUUUACUUCAAAAAGGCCAUAAUAUUACAACCUGCUGCCACAAAUUUGUUGUAUUCCUGUGAAUACACGAAAGGGCUUCCUUUCAGCGACUGGUUGACCGGCGGAGAAUCUUUGGUUCCACAGUUACUAGGGUAAAUGGGAUGGUUGAUAUUAACCAGGCUUACUUCGACAUAAAUGGAUGUCACUUCUAGUCUUAUUGACUUCAGGUAAGGUGUGUGAAUGUGAUUGGUAUAUGUGGGAAUGUUUCUGCAUUCUAUUUCAAACCAUUUCCCUUCAUAGCACUUCAAACUCUUCAUUCCAAACGAAAAGGGAAUUGGAACAUCUCCACAUUGCCAAUCACACUCAGGCUUUGCUACAGGUAGGUCAUCUUGUGCAUAUACCUCCCAUAUUACCAAAAUGAUGAAAUGAAUCACGAAUAUCAGAAUCAUCGUGGCUUGUUGACUGCUUCAAGAUUGAAGAGGUGUUUGUUCAAGCCUCCAACUUCGUACCAAGAUAUGAGUAUUUAUAUGAAACUCAGACACGGACACCGACAGACACGAGGAUGACAUGGAUGAAUUGAGCUGUGCCGGGCACGACCCAGGUUGUGGAAACGCCAAGAACACUUUUAAGUCAGCGAGAAAGAAGGAGAACAGAGAAGAUGAAGGAUAAAAAGGAAGAAGGGGAACAAAUAAGAAGAUGAAAGGUUGCAGAGAAAUUGAAAAAUGAAAAGUGAGGAUUGAGAAAUGGAGAUGCAUUCACACUGUUAUGUUAUGGAUGUAUGCAUACACAUUAUUGCACAAUACAUAAUGCAAUAUAAGAUUCAGGUUGGUGUUCUGCUACUUAGAUGAAAAGGUGACCUUAUUUCUAAGAUAGUAGAAUAAUCAUUCCAAGAUUGAUACUGUUCCCUUAUAACAAGUUCAUUAUGUCUUUCUUGUGCAUUUGACUUUCCUUCCAAUUUGCGAAUACUUUCUAAUUCUAAUGUGACUUCCUUCAUAGUCUCUUUCCAUUCAACUCUAAACAUCUAUUUGCAAGAUUGACAACUUCCACUAUAUGAUUUUUUUCCCUUCCUUCAUCAAUAGUAUUAAAUACACAAUCUUGCUCCACACACAUGAUGAAAUAUGAAGCUAAACUUUUUGGCUUCCUUUGAACUUCGGAGGGUUAUUGGCCUUUUUCAUGUUAAGAGUUCAACAAGAACUAUUCCA